rnacentral:miRNA from 2 species
AAACUGGACCAAGGCUUUUGGG